UACGUAGGGAGCAAGCGUUGUCCGGAAUCAUUGGGCGUAAAGCGCGCGUAGGUGGCCCCAUAAGUCCGCUGUGAAAGUCAAAGGCUCAACCUUUGAAAGCCGGUGGAUACUGUGGGACUAGAGUACGGAAGAGGCGAGUGGAAUUCCUGGUGUAGCGGUGGAAUGCGCAGAUAUCAGGAGGAACACCGAUUGCGAAGGCAGCUCGCUGGGACGUAACUGACGCUGAGACGCGAAAGCGUGGGGAGCAAACAGG
rnacentral:rRNA from 1 species